rnacentral:rRNA from 1 species
CAGUCGCCGCGGUAAUACGUAGGGUGCGAGCGUUAAUCGGAAUUACUGGGCGUAAAGCGUGCGCAGGCGGUUCAUUAAGAUAGAUGUGAAAUCCCCGGGCUUAACCUGGGAACUGCAUUUGUGACUGGCGAGCUAGAGUAUGGCAGUGGGGGGUAGAAUUCCACGUGUAGCAGUGAAAUGCGUAGAGAUGUGGAGGAAUACCGAUGGCGAAGGCAGCCCCCUGGGCCAAUACUGACGCUCAUGCACGAAAGCGUGGGGAGCAAACAGGAUUAGAUACCCCCGUAGUCCCUGUCUCUUAUAC